CCUACGGGCGGCAGCAGUGAGGAAUAUUGGUCAAUGGACGCAAGUCUGAACCAGCCAUGCCGCGUGCAGGAAGACGGCUCUAUGAGUUGUAAACUGCUUUUGUACGAGGGUAAAUCCCGAUACGUGUAUCUGGUUGAAAGUAUCGUACGAAUAAGGAUCGGCUAACUCCGUUCCAGCAGCCGCGGUAAUACGGAGGAUUCAAGCGUUAUCCGGAUUUAUUGGGUUUAAAGGGUGCGUAGGCGGUUCGAUAAGUUAGAGGUGAAAUGCCGGGGCUCAACUCCGGCACUGCCUCUGAUACUGGCGGGCUAGAGUUUAGUUGCGGUAGGCGGAAUGUAUGGUGUAGCGGUGAAAUGCAUAGAGAUCAUACAGAACACCGAUUGCGAAGGCAGCUUACCAAACUACGACUGACGUUGAGGCACGAAAGCGUGGGGAGCAAACAGGAUUAGAUACCCCAGUAGUC
rnacentral:rRNA from 1 species